rnacentral:lncRNA from 1 species
AGCGAACAGGUCAGGCCCUCCAGAUCCAGGACUCGAAUCCAAGCAGGCUUCUGACGGCAGCGUCCCCAGAGAUGCGACCGCCUGGCAGAUCUGUUGGCUCCACCUUCAAGACAUCUCUGGCAUCGGACACCCCCUACCUCCCAAGGCGUCCCCCUGCCCGCCCUUCACAGUCCACCACCCAGCAGCAGCCAGAGGGGCCCCCGUGAAACCGAGCCAGGACGCCCUCCGCUGCUGGGCCGCAGGAGGAUCGAAGCCCAGCCCGGCCCACAGGAACCUUGCCGGUGCCAGAAGACCAGCCUGCAGGCCCGAGGCUGCAGCCUCCCUGGGUGCUCCCGGAGAGGAGGAGAGAGGGCAGCACCAAGGCUGGCUUAGAGGUCCCCCCAGUACCGUCUCCAGCAGCCUCAACCCUGCUGGGGGUCCCCCUCUCAGGGCUGGUUUAUCCCUCCUUCCUGCCCUCCUCAGCUCUCCUGGUCCUUCCAGUGCUCCUGGCUCGGCGAUGCACAUCUCAGGGCACCCCAGCCCCUCCUGUGGGUCUUCCCUGCCUGCUCCAGCCCUCACCACCUGCACGGAGCUCCUGGGGGCGGGGCCGGUCUGUCCUGCCCUUGGACAUCCUCCCGGGAGACGCCCAGCACCAAACCAGCGCAGAGUCCACUGCCCCUGCUGCAUGGACCAGGGAGCCUUCUGGUGGGUCUGGAGGGAGGCCUAGCUGCUGGGUGCGGGUCGUGAUGGGCCCCUCCCCGAACUGGCCAGGGAGGGUGUGGGAAGUGUCCCUGUCGGACCCGGGUCAGUGGGGCUCCCCACCUGGGGCCCUGGGGAGGAGGCUGCCCAGGGAGGCUGGACGGGAGCUUAGCAGGAGCAGCCCCCUGCCACGGGUGGCGUGGGGCCCACCAGGUGGCAGCUGCCAGCUUCCCUCCCCACUGCCUAUGGUUUGGACUUUCUCUCCCAGGCCAGUGGUGAGGGGUGUUUCAUUACAGCUGGUCCCACCUGGCCUCCUCCACGUGGGCCCUGUUCCCGGCUCCUGCCUGGGUCCCCUAACCCGCGACAGCCCCACAUUCGGUGGGGGUCAACAAGGUGGGAGAAACCAGUCCUGGAUGGCACCACGGAGGGAGUGACAUUGGUGCUGGGUAUGGGAGAUGUGUAGGAAGGAAAGGAGCCUGAUGCUCCAGGUGGAGGGGCGGGACCAAGCAAAGGCCCCGAUGGCAGGAGUCCAGGGUGUGGGGUGUGCGGAUGUCACAGGGGAGGGGCGGUGAGUGCCCAGAGCAUCAGGCCAGGGAGCUUGGUUUAGAACUGAGGGUGCUGGGGAGCCAUAGAGUACUCUGGAGAGAGGGGAGUGGCCUACUCUGCCUAGAGGGCAAAGCCUGCCUGGCCACACAUCAGCCAUCAGGAAGCGCUCAGUGUAGUCCCACCCAUGGGGAGGACAUGGCACUUCACUGUAGGAGCUCCCGGCUGAC